rnacentral:rRNA from 1 species
UGGGGAAUAUUGGACAAUGGGCGAAAGCCUGAUCCAGCCAUGCCGCGUGUGUGAAGAAGGUCUUCGGAUUGUAAAGCACUUUAAGUUGGGAGGAAGGGCAGUAAGCGAAUACCUUGCUGUUUUGACGUUACCGACAGAAUAAGCACCGGCUAACUCUGUGCCAGCAGCCGCGGUAAUACAGAGGGUGCAAGCGUUAAUCGGAAUUACUGGGCGUAAAGCGCGCGUAGGUGGUUCGUUAAGUUGAAUGUGAAAGCCCCGGGCUCAACCUGGGAAAUGCCAUCCAAACCGGGGGGGGAGAGGAGGGCAGAGGGUGGUGGAAUUUCCUGUGUAGCGGUGAAAUGCGUAGAUAUAGGAAGGAACACCAGUGGCGAAGGCGACCACCUGGGCUCAUACUGACACUGAGGUGCGAAAGCGUGGGGAGCAAACAGG